rnacentral:rRNA from 1 species
UACGUAGGGUGCAAGCGUUGUCCGGAAUUAUUGGGCGUAAAGAGCUCGUAGGCGGUUCGUCGCGUCGGCUGUGAAAUCCCGAGGCUCAACCUCGGGUCUGCAGUCGAUACGGGCGGACUGGAGUACUGCAGGGGAGACUGGAAUUCCUAGUGUAGCGGUGAAAUGCGCAGAUAUCAGGAGGAACACCGGUGGCGAAGGCGGGUCUCUGGGCAGUUACUGACGCUGAGGCACGAAAGCGUGGGGAGCAAACAGG